UACGUAGGGGGCAAGCGUUGUCCGGAUUUAUUGGGCGUAAAGAGCUCGUAGGCGGCUUGGCAAGUCGGGUGUGAAAACUCCAGGCUCAACCUGGAGAUGCCACUCGAGACUGCUAUGGCUAGAGUCCGGUAGGGGACCACGGAAUUCCUGGUGUAGCGGUGAAAUGCGCAGAUAUCAGGAGGAACACCGGUGGCGAAGGCGGUGGUCUGGGCCGGCACUGACGCUGAGGCGCGAAAGCGUGGGGAGCAAACGGG
rnacentral:rRNA from 1 species